rnacentral:lncRNA from 1 species
CUAGAUCGGUGCCAACGUGCAUCUAAACUUCAGGCUUGAACAGGGACUAUUGUUUUUGCCAGCCAUGGGGUUUCAUUCGUUCUGAAGAUGUCAUGGGGGUUUUGGAAUGUGUGUCCAUAACUUCCUGGUUUUCUCGCAUUUUCCAGCCCACCUGGCUAACGCAUCAUGGAGUGACGUGGGCGUGCCUCGGAUCCCCACAUUCCUCGCUCUUCAGGCUCUCUCCUAGUUUUGCAUGUGCAUGUAAAUGUUAACGAGUAAUAACCAGAUGGUCCCCACAGGGCAGGCUGCGGGUGAGAUGGAAAUUCUAGCAGGAGAAACCACAGCCCGAACUUUGCCAGUCUAAACCCAUCUUUGGUUUAGUGUAUCAGAACCAGCAAACAGAAGGGGAGAGCGGACUCUAAGGUACGUGCUGGCCCUCAUGACCCUGAGGACAGGGGCAAGCCGGCACCUGCUUCCUGCCUAUACCAGAGGCACCGCCUCCGAUGGGCAAAGGCUUUUCCUCCACGGGUUGGUUACUACUGGGAGAAGCAGACCAUAACCAGCCCUCUGACUGGCUCCCGGUAACUGGUGGAGGAGCCCAGGUAUGGACUGUGGAUCCCUGAAGCUCCGCACCCCUGCUUUACAGGAGGCUCCACACCCCUGCUUUUCAGGAGACAUCACCGGGUGGUUCUUACUCCAGAAUCAAUGGAGGCAAAAAACCGGGAGAUCCCAUAAAUCCCACCGAGCUCAUCACAGCCGCCAAAUUAUGCCCUGAUAA